UGUCCUCUCUUCUCAAAAGAGAAGCUAUGUGCUCAGGAUGCACACAGGAUGUGGAGGAGGCCAAUGGCCGGACACUGAAAUCAUGGCAUGAUCUUGGAUAUCUAUCCCACGCAGUCAUGAAUGCUGCCUUUACACCACAUGCAGCGAUCAUAUCCGUGUUUCUUAUUUCUAUACUGUUGUCUUCUUAGUCUCCUCAGAGGGAUGUAAGUAUAUGUCAUCUACAAUGUCCAAUACAUAUGGUUAAGCUCAGCAGGAGUUGAAAAACUGGAACCCAAACCAACAUUUUUUGUCUUCGAAGAGGGCCCACGGGCAGGAAUGCAACAUGCAUUUCCAGGGAGGGCACAAGGAGUCUUGUUGUCAUUCUCAAUGCCCAAAUAAAAACAGCCGCUUAAAACACCUGCCUCCAACAUCAGCUAGAAGAUUGUAUGUUAUCCUAUCAGAUUCUGAUCUGGGCACAGUGAUUCACAUGUUUGUGUCCUCUUGGCUUGAUUAUUAUUUAUUAUUACACCUAUGAAUGAAGCUACCAGUGAAGCUAUCUAUUGUCUACAGCCAAGCACUACGAUAUAACCGCAUUUGCUCCAACCCCUCAGACAGAGACAAACACCUACAAGAUCUCUAUCAUGCAUUCCUACAACUACAAUACCCACCUGCUGA